GCUAAGACAGGAAGAGGUGAGGUCCUGAGUUGUUAUGAAAACAAACGCUGAGGUUAGGGAGGCCCUGUGAAGUGAGCGCCUGGUGUACACCUAUUUUUAGAUAUGAAAAACACAGCAGGGCUCAGCUAGGAAGUAAACAAGCAGCAAGUGAGUCCUCAGUCUCCACCGUGCGUGGUGUGGAUGGAGGGGGGGAAGCAGGGCCAGGAGGGUCUAACCUGCUUCCCUUCUGAAAGGGCAGACUGGAAAAGGGCCUCCCUUUUGUCUCCCCCAACCCCAUUUUAAACAUCGUGGGGCUGGGAUGCACUUAGCUACCUUUUAGCUCCAUGACAAAGCCUUGGAGCACAAGGCCCGCCUUGGGAGCAGGGGACUGAGUGACAUUUGAAGCACUUUCCCUUUGAAAGGUUUGGAACGGAAAGAGGUCACAAGAAUCCAGGGGAGCUCUCCAACCAGAAACCCAGAGGCAAGAACCUUCCUGCUCUGCUCACCUUGAACCCCAAGUGACCUUGACUUCAUCUGCUCCAAGGGAAGUCGACUGUGACCUUUUUGUUGUCAGAUCUCACUGACCUCCAAGCAUCGGCUUCUUCCUUAAUCGCCUAGCCACACGGACGAGGCUGACAUCCUGUUUGCUGUGUUCAAGGAUGCGCCACUGAUCUCCACAGUCUGCCUCUGUAGCCUGUGUGUAUUAAGCCUCUCGGAAGACACUGCCCAGAUAUCCCACACAUCCCCCACACCACAGGUUCCUUCCAGAUCUGAUUUUCCUGCAGCCUUCCCUACUUCGGAAGGGAGACCUUUCUUCAUCGCCCUCCCGUGAAUACUGAGCUUGACAUUCUUUUUUUUUUUUCUUUUCUUUUUUUUUUUUUUUUCUUUUUUCAGAGCUGGGGACCGAACCCAGGGCCUUGUGCUGAGCUUGACAUUCUUGUCUUCAUCUUCCACAUCUCCUCAUGACCUCUUGCACUCCCUAUCGUCCUUCAUUUUAUUUAUUGUAUCUUGGGGUGGGUAGCACAGGCAUGUGUAUGCACAUAGGUGUGCGAGUGUGCACCAGCCCAUGCAUGUGCAUGUGGAAGCCAGAGGUCAAAGGUCAAUGUCAGGCGUCUUCUACUUCUCUCCGCCUUAUUUUACAUUUUAAAAGAUUUUUUUUAAAUUUAUAUUCGUUUAUGUGCUUGAGUGUUUUGCCUGCUGGUAUGUAUGUGUACAAUUGGGUGUGCCUGGUGCCCACAGGGGUCAGAAGAGAGCAUUGGAUCCCCUGGAGCUGGAAUUAUAGAUGGUCGAGAGCUGUCAUAUGGGCGCUGGGAAUAGAACCUGGGUCCUCUGCAAGAGCACCAAGGGCUCUCAAGUUCUUUCUAGCCCCCUCCCCCCACACACACACCUUGUUUUUGUGGUUUUUUUUUCCCCCUCAGGGGAGAGCACGAACGCAGUCCCCCACAACCACAAAUUAUGCAGUUGAGUUUCCCGCAUUUGGGGAAAUCGCAGGGAUCAGCACAUCCGGAGUGCAAUGGAUAAGCCUCACCCUGGGAAAACCACCUUCGUGAUCAUGGUAUCUCCCCUGCCAGACAGAGUUGGCUGGCCUGGAACUCUGAACUGCACAGAGAAACCCUAUUUCGAAAAACCCAGAAACCAAAACCAAAUAAAUAAAAGUACUUGCCGCUCUUA